rnacentral:rRNA from 1 species
AGGACGAACGCUGGCGGCGUGCUUAACACAUGCAAGUCGAGCGGAAAGGCCCUUCGGGGUACUCGAGCGGCGAACGGGUGAGUAACACGUGAGUAAUCUGCCCCUAGCUCUGGGAUAGCUCCGGGAAACCGGGAUUAAUACCAGAUACGACCACUUUAGACAUCUGCUGUGGUGGAAAGAAUUUCGGCUAGGGAUGAGCUCGCGGCCUAUCAGCUUGUUGGUGAGGUAACGGCUCACCAAGGCGACGACGGGUAGCCGGCCUGAGAGGGCGACCGGCCACACUGGGACUGAGACACGGCCCAGACUCCUACGGGAGGCAGCAGUGGGGAAUAUUGCGCAAUGGGCGAAAGCCUGACGCAGCGACGCCGCGUGGGGGAUGAAGGCCUUCGGGUUGUAAACCCUUUCAGCAGGGACGAAGCGAAAGUGACGGUACCUGCAGAAGAAGCGCCGGCUAACUACGUGCCAGCAGCCGC